UGCAGUCGAACGAACUUCCGUUAAUUGAUUAUGACGUACUUGUACUGAUUGAGAUUUUAACACGAAGUGAGUGGCGAACGGGUGAGUAACACGUGGGUAACCUGCCCAGAAGUAGGGGAUAACACCUGGAAACAGAUGCUAAUACCGUAUAACAGAGAAAACCGCAUGGUUUUCUUUUAAAAGAUGGCUCUGCUAUCACUUUUGGAUGGACCCGCGGCGUAUUAGCUAGUUGGUGAGGUAAAGGCUCACCAAGGCAGUGAUACGUAGCCGACCUGAGAGGGUAAUCGGCCACAUUGGGACUGAGACACGGCCCAGACUCCUACGGGAGGCAGCAGUAGGGAAUCUUCCACAAUGGACGCAAGUCUGAUGGAGCAACGCCGCGUGAGUGAAGAAGGGUUUCGGCUCGUAAAGCUCUGUUGUUAAAGAAGAACGUGGGUAAGAGUAACUGUUUACCCAGUGACGGUAUUUAACCAGAAAGCCACGGCUAACUACGUGCCAGCAGCCGCGGUAAUACGUAGGUGGCAAGCGUUAUCCGGAUUUAUUGGGCGUAAAGCGAGCGCAGGCGGUCUUUUAAGUCUAAUGUGAAAGCCUUCGGCUCAACCGAAGAAGUGCAUUGGAAACUGGGAGACUUGAGUGCAGAAGAGGACAGUGGAACUCCAUGUGUAGCGGUGAAAUGCGUAGAUAUAUGGAAGAACACCAGUGGCGAAGGCGGCUGUCUGGUCUGCAACUGACGCUGAGGCUCGAAAGCAUGGGUAGCGAACAGGAUUAGAUACCCUGGUAGUCCAUGCCGUAAACGAUGAUUACUAAGUGUUGGAGGG
rnacentral:rRNA from 1 species